rnacentral:rRNA from 1 species
CCUACGGGAGGCAGCAGUGGGGAAUAUUGCACAAUGGGGGAAACCCUGAUGCAGCGACGCCGCGUGAGUGAUGAAGUAUUUCGGUAUGUAAAGCUCUAUCAGCAGGGAAGAAAUAAAGUCCUUCGGAAUUUGGACGGUACCUGACUAAGAAGACCGGGAUAACUACGUGCCAGCAGCCGCGGUAACACGGAGGGUGCAAGCGUUCUCCGGAUUUACUGGGUGUAAAGGGAGCGUAGACGGCAGCGCAAGUCUGGAGUGAAAUCCCAUGGCUUAACCAUGGAACUGAUUUGGAAACUGGGCAGCUGGAGUGCAGGAGAGGAAAGCGGAAUUCCUAGUGUAGCGGUGAAAUGCGUAGAUAUUAGGAGGAACACCAGUGGCGAAGGCGGCUUACUGGACUGUAACUGACGUUGAGGCUCGAAAGCGUGGGGAGCAAACAGGAUUAGAUACCCUUGUAGUC